AUUGAACGCUGGCGGCAGGCUUAACACAUGCAAGUCGAGCGAGCGGCGGACGGGUGAGUAAUGUCUGGGAAACUGCAUGAUGGAGGGGGAUAACAACUGGAAACGGUAGCUAAUACCGCAUACCAUCAGAUGUGCCCAGAUGGGAUUAGCUAGGAGGUGGGGUAAUGGCUCACCUAGGCGACGAUCCCUAGCUGGUCUGAGAGGAUGACCAGCCACACUUGAACUGAGACACGGUCCAGACUCCUACGGGAGGCAGCAGUGGGGUAUAUUGCACAAUGGGCGCAAGCCUGAUGCAGCCAUGCCGCGUGUGUGAAGAAGGCCUUCGGGUUGGAACGCACUUUCAGCGAAGAGGCGUUACUCGCAGAAGAAGCACCGGCUAACUCCGUGCCAGCAGCCGCGGUAAUAC
rnacentral:rRNA from 1 species